rnacentral:piRNA from 1 species
GCGGGGCUUGCUUUCCAGACGCUUUA